UUUGAGAGCAAAAUAGGUCUGUUUUUAAUGGCAGGUGUGUAUUUCUAAGGUACAUAAAACAACAGCAUAUGCACCUUUUUCAGUUCUUGUACAGAGUGCAAAGGAGGUGGUUUAGAGGUAAUUAGAUGAAUGAGGCGAGUGCGCUUAGCAUUUACGAUCUGUUUUGGUAAAAUUUACUAGGUGAUAUUUUCUUACAAGUUUCUUCUUCUUCUUCUCUUUCUUUCUUUUUGUCGGUCCUCACCCCGUAAAAUUUAUUUUUGCGACUUUUCUGGAAAACGCUGCAAGCAAUACCAGGCAAUCAAAGAGUAGUAGCCUUUGUGAAUAACACUGCAAACGUACAACACCCGUAGAAUUACAAUGAGGGGCAAUCAACAAGGAAAGAGUAUGCAGCGUCUGGCUGUUCGAUAUUCUAUUUGCAAUGUAGAGAAAGUUACUUGCUUAUAUCCUGUGCUUCCUUAUAACAUAAAUCGCGUAAAGCACGCGCUCCGAAGAAGCUCAAAAAGCUAGAGUUCGGCCGAAAUAGCUGACAAAAUGCCGUAUUUCAUGUUUUUCCAGGUAUCGACCUCUUUGGGGAAACGAGCUCUUGUGGAAGCAACAAAAAAAGAGUCGAAUUUGGAUAGUCUUGAAACUCACAAGAAAAAUAGUAACCAUCUUUGAAGGGCUUUGUAACCUAGUUUUUUAGCGGAUCUCCGCUGUUCUGAAGCUGUUCAUCGUAUGGAGUGUGCUAAUUUUGAUUCCGAUCUUACGAAUCAUGCAUGUGUGCAUAAUUCUAGUUAAAUACAUUUUCCUGUUGCUCAAUAAUAUCUUUAAAGUCCUUUGACUUCCGAAACAUAGUAAUUCUUUAUUUGUAAAUUAAAAACGCUAGUUCCAAUUGAAAAUGUGUGAUAGAGCCUCAUUAGGAGCAUUUUUGAGGUGGGAAUUGAGAAUUGAAAGUCCCUCAUUAGCAUAUGCAGCGCCCACGACAUCAACUACUGACUGUCGUCGAUUUCUCGGCAUGUGUAUCAUUUCAUUUUGAAGCCUUUUAAUUUAAAGAGGCUGAAAAUUGUACCCAUGGGGCUUUCAUGCAACUCUUAAUCUUCCAGUUCAAGCAGACUACAAGAGUUGAAAUGAAAUAUGAGCCGGGUUACAGUAGUAUAUGGAAGCUAAUGAAAGCUUAUUGCUUGCACAAUCAUAGGAUGGGAUAAAAUGAUUGACAGGUUCUGCUACGUUAACUCUAACAUUUUUUGCGACUUUUCAAAUUCUACCAUCAAUGCGUGGAUUUCCAAUCAAGAACACUGCAGACUGCUUGAAAGAAAUAAUGAAGGGACUCACUCAAGUUCGAUUUGAGGUUAACAUUCUCACAGAGAACAGAACCUCGUGUAUAC